UACGGAGGGUGCAAGCGUUAUCCGGAUUCACUGGGUUUAAAGGGUGCGUAGGUGGGUUGGUAAGUCAGUGGUGAAAUCUCCGUGCUUAACAUGGAAACUGCCAUUGAUACUACUGGUCUUGAAUUUUCUAGAGGUAAGCGGAAUAUGUCAUGUAGCGGUGAAAUGCUUAGAUAUGACAUAGAACACCAAUUGCGAAGGCAGCUUACUACAGGGACAUUGACACUGAGGCACGAAAGCGUGGGGAUCAAACAGG
rnacentral:rRNA from 1 species